rnacentral:misc_RNA from 1 species
AAGUCGUAACAAGGUCUCCGUAGGUGAACCUGCGGAGGGAUCAUUAACACUAUUUGUUUGGUUCGGAGCAAUCCUUACUACUCAAAUUAAAACCAACACACCACGUGAACUAGGGUCUGGCUGAACUGGUAGCUCUGCUAUUGGGUAAUUGUCAGGCCCGAUCCUCCCAUUUUUCUAGAAGCGCUCGCAUCCGAUGUGUAGCGGAGGUAUAGCACCUCAUCUGUGUAAGCACAGUGUGACCUUUGCGUUGCACUGUAAAGUUUCUAGAUUAAUGGACUAAAUUUCGGUAGCUGCUACAGUCGAGAAAACCAAACAAACCUUUUUUGUUGUUUAGGCAAAAACAAUUUUCACCCCUUCGUACUUGCGCUUUUGACUCACUUCACUAAGAUUAUUCUAAUCUAAGCACAACUCUUAGCAACGGAUAUCUUGGUUCUC